AGCCCGGGGAGUAAGGCCGGCGAGGCCCUGCUGCCGGCCCCCGUCUCCUGUCUCCGGGAUGGGACGGGUGCUGCGCAGGGGUGGGGCGGUCGGAGUGUGUUUCCCCCAUCAGGGCUGCCUCACGCAGUCAUCGGCCUCCACAGGCACACCCGCACUGGAGCCCGGAGCGCAGGGUUGUGUUGAUUUCUGCCUCAAUGCUAAUUGUUAUGCUGGAAGUUAUCAAAAAGUUCAUGACAGAUCCUUUUCAAAUUCUGGUGAAGAAGGAAGAAUGGCCCUUGAAAGGAUCAAUGUUUUACAAUAAUUUUGAAAGAGGGUAGUGACAGAAGGGGAAAAAUAUGAUCAGGAGGAAAUUCAGAUAAAGGACAAACCAAUUUUUGAUUGCUACUGACUUAUUGAGAUAAGGUCUCACUAUGUUGCCCAGGCUAGACUCGAACUCUGGGCUCAAGGAAUCCUCCCGCCUCAGCCUCCCCAGUAGCUGGAACCACAGGUGUGUGCAGCGUGCCUGGCCCUAUUGUAGUCAUUUGUGUUACAGCAUGUGAGGUGAACUGAGCAGAAGGCAGUGAUAAAUAUGGGUUACCAUAAUAAAUUCUUAGAGGUUUCCCCCUGCUGGAAAAAAUUUUAAGUCCUGGACCAAGGCUGUCCAAUAGAACUUUCUGUGAUGAUGGAAAUGUUCUGUACCCAUACUGUGCAAUACAGGAGUGACAGAACACAUGUGAAUAUUGACAUGUGGUUAAUGUAACUGAAGAACUGAAUUUUCUAUUUUAUUUAUUUAUUUUAAUUUAAAUUAAAUAGCCACAUGUGACUAGUGACUGUUGUAUUAAACAGCAUAUUGUUAAACAAUACUUAACAUUUCAGAAUUUACAUUUGCAGUUUACAGUUCCAAAAGCCUGUCAAAAUGGAUUACAAAACUGUUCCUUUUGUUUUUGUCCCCAGUGCUUACAUCUGUCCCAGGCUGACACCACUCUUGGCUGGCCCACUUUGAAUUGGCAGUAGGAGUCAACUUGGAAGGAAAACUGUGACCAUAACUGUUAAAGAAGACAAAAGGAUUCUUUGUGACAUUGAGACUUUCUUCAAUAACACAGGGGAGGAAAUGCCAGUGUAUAUGGUUGACCUUAUUUAAUCUUGGGAUGAGACAGUUUUUGUUGUUGAUAUUAUUUGUUUUUAUUUUUAUUAAAGCUAUACAUAAAAGCACGUAGAUUUAGGAAUCAAACAAUUAUACAAGGUGUGUUAUUAAAAAAAAAAAAAGAUAAUAAAAGCAGACACACUCCCAGGGACACCCCUUUUAGUCUUAGGACUAUAGCCCAGUAACACAAACUCAGAGCAAAUCGAGAACUCGGUCCUGUAGUGGGCUACAAGAGGCACAAUAUUUAUACAUUUUGUUACAUAGAAAAUGGAGAAGGGGCCAGUGAAGCAACAGUGACAUUCUUAUAAUUUUGAUUGGUGCUCAGUACUAUCAUACAUAAGGUAAAGCAAAUAAGCAGUUAACAUGUAUUGGGUAAAAAGUUAAGGAGUACAUAGAUAUCUUAGAGUCUUGAGAGGGAUGAUGGAUUCUCUCCUGCCUUUGUGCUUCAUCUGAUAGCCCAGGUUGCAGUCAACAUGUGUCAGUGAAAUAUUUCACAGACCCAGCCUCAUAGGCAAGAGUUCAGCUUAGUUCAUAGGCCUAAUUUCUCUUACCUAUUGGUCCAUCCUGUUGCCAUCUAGGGCUGCUUUUAAUUUUUUUUUCUUUCAGAUUCUCCAUUUUCUGACAUUUGCAAUAUAGUUAUGCUGUCAUUUUAGCCAAAUCAAUAUUCAAUUUAACUUAUUGGGACUAUGUGGAAACUUUCCACAAUUGAGUCACAUAGGCCGGGCGCGAUGGCUCACGCCUGUAAUCCUAGCCCUCUGGGAGGCCGAGGCGGGUGGAUCGCUCGAGGU